rnacentral:rRNA from 1 species
CUCACUAGUCGAGAGGUCCUGCGCCGAAAAUGUCCGGGGCUGAAACACACUGCCGAAGCUCAGGAAUGUACCUAGUACAUUGGUAGAGGAGCAUUGUAUACGGGACGAAGCAGUACCGAUAAGGAGCUGUGGACUGUAUAGAAGAGAGAAUGCCGGAAUGAGUAGCGAGAGGAAGGUGAGAAUCCUUCCGGCCGAAUAUCUAAGGUUUCCAGAGUAAAGCUGAUCUGCUCUGGGUAAGUCGGGGCCUAAGGAGAGGUCGCAAGACGUAUCCGAUGGAUAACAGGUUUAGAUUCCUGUACCACGCAUUAUCAGAACUGUAGGGACGCAUGUGGAAAGCACGAGCCGGGAAUGGAAAAACCGGUACAAGCGAGGUAGGUGUACAAUAGGCAAAUCCGUUGUAUAAUCCGAAGACGUGAUGUGGAGCGAAAUAAAGUAGUGAAGCGUGUGAGCCAUGUGCCGAGAAAAGCUGCUAUUGUGUAAUGCGUGCCCGUACCGUAAACCGACACAGGUGGAUGAGGAGAGAAUCCUAAGGCCGACGGAAGAAGCAUUGUUAAGGAAUUCGGCAAAAUGACCCCGUAACUUCGGGAGAAGGGGUGCCCACGAGAGUGGGCCGCAGAGAAUAGGCUCAAGCAACUGUUUAGCAAAAACACAGGUCUAUGCGAAACCGAAAGGUGAGGUAUAUGGGCUGACGCCUGCCCGGUGCUGGAAGGUUAAGGGGAGAGGUUAGCGCAAGCGAAGCUUUGAACUUAAGCCCCAGUAAACGGCGGCCGUAACUAUAACGGUCCUAAGGUAGCGAAAUUCCUUGUCGGGUAAGUUCCGACCCGCACGAAAGGCGUAAUGAUUUGGGCACUGUCUCAACAAUGCACCCGGUGAAAUUGAAAUACCAGUGAAGAUGCUGGUUACCUGCGCCAGGACGGAAAGACCCCAUGGAGCUUUACUCCAGCUUGAUACUGGGAUUCGGUAUUGCAUGUACAGGAUAGGUGGGAGGCUAGGAAAUGGUAACGCCAGUUGCCAUGGAGCCAUUGUUGGGAUACCACCCUUGCAGUACUGGGUUUCUAACCAGCAGCCGUGAUCCGGCUGGGGGACAAUGUCAGGUGGGGAGUUUGACUGGGGCGGUCGCCUCCGAAAGGGUAUCGGAGGCGCUCAAAGGUUCCCUCAGAAUGGUUGGAAACCAUUCGAAGAGUGCAAAGGCAGAAGGGAGCUUGACUGCGACACCGACGGGUGGAGCAGGUACGAAAG